rnacentral:rRNA from 1 species
GACGAACCACACAAACGUUAUUCGGAAUUACUGGGCUUAAAGCGUGCGCAGGCGGCUUCUCAAGUCAGGGGUGAAAGCCCAGAGCUUAACUCUGGAAUUGCCUUUGAGACUGAGAGGCUUGAGUACGGGAGAGGUGAGUGGAAUUCCCAGUGUAGAGGUGAAAUUCGUAGAUAUUGGGAAGAACACCGGUGGCGAAGGCGGCUCACUGGCCCGUAACUGACGCUCAUGCACGACAGCGUGGGGAUCAAACAGG